CCUACGGGGUGCAGCAGUGAGGAAUAUUGGUCAAUGGACGAGAGUCUGAACCAGCCAAGUAGCGUGAAGGAUGACUGCCCUAUGGGUUGUAAACUUCUUUUAUAAAGGAAUAAAACGAGGCACGUGUGCCUUUCUGCAUGUACUUUAUGAAUAAGGAUCGGCUAACUCCGUGCCAGCAGCCGCGGUAAUACGGAGGAUCCGAGCGUUAUCCGGAUUUAUUGGGUUUAAAGGGAGCGUAGAUGGGUUGUUAAGUCAGUUGUGAAAGUUUGCGGCUCAACCGUAAAAUUGCAAUUGAUACUGGCAGUCUUGAGUACAGUUGAGGUAGGCGGAAUUCGUGGUGUAGCGGUGAAAUGCUUAGAUAUCACGAAGAACUCCGAUUGCGAAGGCAGUUUACUAAACUGCCACUGACAUUGAUGCUCGAAAGUGUGGGUAUCAAACAGGAUUAGAUACCCUGGUAGUC
rnacentral:rRNA from 1 species